rnacentral:piRNA from 1 species
CUUUUAAUGGAUUCUGGAGUGAGCAG